rnacentral:rRNA from 1 species
AUUGAACGCUGGCGGCAUGCUUUACACAUGCAAGUCGAACGGUAACAGCACUUCGGUGGCUGACGAGUGGCGCACGGGUGAGUAAUACAUCGGAACGUGCCUAGUAGUGGGGGAUAACUACUCGAAAGAGUAGCUAAUACCGCAUGAGAUCUAAGGAUGAAAGCAGGGGACCUUCGGGCCUUGCGCUACUAGAGCGGCUGAUGGCAGAUUAGGUAGUUGGUGGGAUAAAAGCUUGCCAAGCCGACGAUCUGUAGCUGGUCUGAGAGGACGACCAGCCACACUGGGACUGAGACACGGCCCAGACCCCUACGGGAGGCAGCAGUGGGGAAUUUUGGACAAUGGGCGCAAGCCUGAUCCAGCAAUGCCGCGUGCAGGAUGAAGGCCUUCGGGUUGUAAACUGCUUUUGUACGGAAAGAAAAGCCCUCUUCUAAUACAGGAGGGUCAUGACGGUACCGUAAGAAUAAGCACCGGCUAACUACGUG